rnacentral:rRNA from 1 species
AGCAGCCGCGGUAAUUCCAGCUCCAAUAGCGUAUAUUAAAGUUGUUGCAGUUAAAAAGCUCGUAGUUGAAUUUCGGGGUCAGUAGGUUGGUCAUGCCACUGGUAUGUACUGGUCUCACUGAUUCCUCCUUCCUGAUGAGCCGUAAUGCCACUAAUUUGGUGUUGCGAGGAAUCUGGACUGUUACUUUGAAAAAAUUGAGUGUUUAAAGCAGGCUAACGCUUGAAUACAUUAGCAUGGAAUAAUGAAAUAGGACGUUCGAUCUUAUUUUGUUGGUUUCUAAGAUUGACGUAAUGAUUAAUAGGGAUAGUUGGGGGCAUUAGUAUUCAAUUGUCAAAGGUGAAAUUCUUGGAUUUAUUGAAGACUAACUACUGACGAAAGCAUUUGCCAAGGNUGUUUUCAUUAAUCAAGAACGAAAGUUAGGGGAUCGAAGACGAUCAGAUACCGUCGUAGUCUUAACCAUAAACUAUGACCGACGUAGGGAUACGGAUGGAUUAGUUUUAAUUUUUUAANGUACUUCAGU